GACGAACGCUGGCGGCGUGCUUAACACAUGCAAGUCGAACGGUAAGGCCCUUCGGGGUACACGAGUGGCGAACGGGUGAGUAACACGUGGGUGAUCUGCCCUGCACUUCGGGAUAAGCCUGGGAAACUGGGUCUAAUACCGGAUAGGACCACUGCCUGCAUGGGUGGUGGUGGAAAGCUUUUGCGGUGUGGGAUGGGCCCGCGGCCUAUCAGCUUGUUGGUGGGGUGAUGGCCUACCAAGGCGACGACGGGUAGCCAGCCUGAGGGGGUGACCGGCCACACUGGGACUGAGAUACGGCCCAGACUCCUACGGGAGGCAGCAGUGGGGAAUAUUGCACAAUGGGCGCAAGCCUGAUGCAGCGACGCCGCGUGAGGGAUGACGGCCUUCGGGUUGUAAACCUCUUUCAGCACCGACGAAGCGCAAGUGACGGUAGGUGCAGAAGAAGGACCGGCCAACUACGUGCCAGCCGCCGCGGUAA
rnacentral:rRNA from 1 species